CCUACGGGAGGCAGCAGUGAGGAAUAUUGGUCAAUGGACGAGAGUCUGAACCAGCCAAGUAGCGUGAAGGAUGACUGCCCUAUGGGUUGUAAACUUCUUUUAUAUGGGAAUAAAAUGUUCCACGUGUGGGGUUUUGUAUGUACCCUAUGAAUAAGCAUCGGCUAACUCCGUGCCAGCAGCCGCGGUAAUACGGAGGAUCCGAGCGUUAUCCGGAUUUAUUGGGUUGAAAGGGAGCGUAGGGGGAUUGUUAAGUCAGUUGUGAAAGUUUGGGGCUCAACCGUAAAAGUGCAGUUGAAACUGGCAGUCUUGAGUACAGGAGAGGUGGGCGGAAUUCGUGGUGUAGCGGUGAAAUGCUUAGAUAUCACGAAGAACUCCGAUUGCGAAGGCAGCUCACUGGACUGCAACUGACACUGAGGCGCGAAAGUGUGGGUAUCAAACAGGAUUAGAUACCCGAGUAGUC
rnacentral:rRNA from 1 species